AUUGAACGCUGGCGGCAGGCCUAACACAUGCAAGUCGAACGGUAACAGGAAGAAGCUUGCUUCUUUGCUGACGAGUGGCGGACGGGUGAGUAAUGUCUGGGAAACUGCCUGAUGGAGGGGGAUAACUACUGGAAACGGUAGCUAAUACCGCAUAACGUCGCAAGACCAAAAAGGGGGACCUUCGGGCCUCUUGCCAUCGGAUGUGCCCAGAUGGGAUUAGCUAGUAGGUGGGGUAACGGCUCACCUAGGCGACGUUCCCUAGCUGGUCUGAGAGGAUGACCAGCCACACUGGAACUGAGACACGGUCCAGACUCCUACGGGAGGCAGCAGUGGGGAAUAUUGCACAAUGGGCGCAAGCCUGAUGCAGCCAUGCCGCGUGUAUGAAGAAGGCCUUCGGGUUGUAAAGUACUUUCAGCGGGGAGGAAGGGAGUAAAGUUAAUACCUUUGCUCAUUGACGUUACCCGCAGAAGAAGCACCGGCUAACUCCGUG
rnacentral:rRNA from 1 species